AUUGUACUCCCUCCGUCCGGAAAUACUUGUCAUUGAAAUGGAUGUAUCUAUAUGUAUUUUAGUUCUAGAUACAUUCAUUUUCAUCCAUUUUGAUGACAAGUAAUUCCGGACGGAGAGAGUACUAU
rnacentral:pre_miRNA from 1 species